rnacentral:rRNA from 1 species
UACGUAGGGCGCAAGCGUUGUCCGGAAUUAUUGGGCGUAAAGAGCUCGUAGGCGGUUUGUCGCGUCUGCUGUGAAAACCUAAGGCUCAACCUUGGGCUUGCAGUGGGUACGGGCAGACUAGAGUGCGGUAGGGGUGACUGGAAUUCCUGGUGUAGCGGUGGAAUGCGCAGAUAUCGAGGGAGGAACACCGAGUGGCGAAAGGCAGGUCAC